GUUAAAAGUUGCAUGCCUUUCUAUUUGGUUUCCUAAAUAUCGAUGCCGUUCGUUAUCAAAAUAAGGGCAUGUCAUUUAAUAGUGUUUUUCAGUAGCUAUUUUGUGUGUGUUACAUAGGUUGCAGAGGCGAUCAUGGAAUGGGAUGCCUUCAUAGCGGCCAGUUUCUACAGGGAGGAGGUGGUUAGCAGUGCGGAAUUUAAAGAUACUUUGGGACUCAUCGGGAUGAAUUUUAAUCAGGUCAGAGGCACUACUUGAGACAAUGACGGUGUCAUCUGCAUACAAUAGGACCAGAAGCUUAAGCCACAAUGUUGCAGUAUCUGGGUUGAUAAGUUCAACCCCAACAGAUCCAUUUAUAUGCAGGUUAGAGGCACAAUGUCUUCCCCCGGGGUCCUAGUGAGCUCCGCCCCGGUUUGGUGUGUUCCUGGAUCCAGAUGCGUCCCAUGGGCGCUGUAUCGGUGGUUGAGGCUGCGAUGAGCCAAGCUGUUGAGCCGUUUCCGACUGGCGGUUUGGGGAAUCCCUGCGAGGUGCGUGUUGGGCCGUUUCCGACUGGCGGUUUGGGGGAUCCCUGCGGGGUGCGUGUUGGGCCGUUUCCGACUGGCAGUUUGGGUGGUCCCUGCCAGGUGCGUGUGGGCGAGGAUUCUUCCUCCGGGAAGGCGAUGGCGAUUGUUGCUUUCGCGGAGUCCUGCGCUCAAGCACAGGGGAAGCAUCGCGUUGGCUACGCUCCUGCAAAACAGUCUUGUUCGAGUCGUUGGACUGGGCACGAGGAGCCUGUGACAUGGCUGGCUGCGUGUGGGAUCUGUUUACAUUUCUAGCUAGAGCAUACUGUGUGUUUGUGAAAAAAUUGUUGUGCUUUGUAACACGGCUGCCUUGCAUGAUUGUAUCCCAGUUUGGAAAGGCAUCAGCGACAACGC